rfam:Pasteurella multocida subsp. multocida str. Anand1_buffalo contig111, whole genome shotgun sequence.
GGACGAACCCUUGGAGAGAGCCGUUAUAUUAAAAAGAGAUAAAACGGCCGCCGAAGGCGCAAAAAGAGCGGUUAAUUUUUCCGUUUUUUCAAACGCUCAGGCAAAAGGACAGGGGCAACAAG